ensembl:snRNA U6 U6 spliceosomal RNA
GUGCUCGCUUUGGCAGCACAUAUACUAAAGGUAGAAUGACACAGAAAAGAUUAGCAUGGCCCCUGCGCAAAGAUGACCGGCAAAUUCGUGCAGCGGUCCAUAUUCUU